rnacentral:lncRNA from 1 species
CAGAACAGCCCGCAACAAUGCAGCCACCAUCUAUGCACAUGUUACGGCCAAUCUCCUCGUCGCCUGGUCGCCGGGAACAAGCGCCUGCAAAAGAAAGUCCGCACUGACCGGAGGCGGCUCCGGCGGGGACCCUCCGACGGUCAAGUCAGAGAGGAGACUAGGCAAUAGCGAAAAAGAAACAAGGAACUCAACGAGAGAGGGAGAGAGAG